rnacentral:rRNA from 1 species
GACGAACGCUGGCGGCGUGCCUAAUACAUGCAAGUAGAACGCUGAAGAGAGGAGCUUGCUCUUCUUGGAUGAGUUGCGAACGGGUGAGUAACGCGUAGGUAACCUGCCUUGUAGCGGGGGAUAACUAUUGGAAACGAUAGCUAAUACCGCAUAACAAUGGAUGACACAUGUCCUUUAUUUGAAAGGGGCAAUUGCUCCACUACAAGAUGGACCUGCGUUGUAUUAGCUAGUAGGUGAGGUAAUGGCUCACCUAGGCGACGAUACAUAGCCGACCUGAGAGGGUGGUCGGCCACACUGGGACUGAGACACGGCCCAGACUCCUACGGGAGGCAGCAGUAGGGAAUCUUCGGCAAUGGGGGCAACCCUGACCGAGCAACGCCGCGUGAGUGAAGAAGGUUUUCGGAUCGUAAAGCUCGGUUGUAAGUCAAGAACGGGUGUGAGAGUGGAAAGUUCACACUGUGACGGUAGCUUACCAGAAAGGGACGGCUAACUACGUG